AGGCAGAGAUGUACGAAUGAAGUGAGAGAGAGAGAGUGAGAUUUGUCAGAUAAAGUAGCGGAGUUUGAGAGAGAGAGUAGCGGAGGAUUUUUGCAAAAACAACCUUCUUCAACUAAAAUGCGUUCGCAUAAUUCUUGUUCAACAUGAAGCACGCUGAGAAAAGCUAGCCCAGGUCUAGUGGCUGCUGCAUGAGAGAAUCUGAAGUUAUUAAACAUUAGUAGCCGACUGCAUAUGUAUUUUUCUGAAGUUGUGAGAAACAUUAAUAGCUGACUGCAUAUAUAGUUUCCUGGAAUUGAAAUGUCAAUUGGAUCUUUGUUCUUCA